ACUCCUACGGGAGGCAGCAGUAGGGAAUCUUAGACAAUGGGCGCAAGCCUGAUCUAGCCAUGCCGCGUGUGUGACGAAGGCCUUAGGGUCGUAAAGCACUUUCGCCAGGGAUGAUAAUGACAGUACCUGGUAAAGAAACCCGCUACAUCCGUGCCAGCAGCCGCGGUAAUACGGAGGGGGUUAGCGUUGUUCGGAAUUACUGGGCGUAAAGCGCGCGUAGCGGAUUAGUCAGUCAGAGGUGAAAUCCCAGGGCUCAACCCUGGAAC
rnacentral:rRNA from 1 species